UUUUUUUUUUUUUUUUUUUUUUACAGCCACACCUGUGGCAUAUGGAAGUUCCCAGGCCAGGGGUCAAAUGGAAGCUGCAGCUACAGGCUUACGCCACAGCCACAGUAAUACAGGAUCCAAGCUGCAUCUUUGACUUAACACCAUUGGUGGCAAUGCCAGAUCCUUAAACCACUGAAUGAGGCCAAGGAUCAAAUCCAUAACCUCAUGGAGACUAGUUGAGUUCUUAACCUGCUGAGCCACAAUGGAACUCUGGUCAUUUAUUCCUUUAGCACACACAUAAAAAUUUCUUCUACUUCCCUAUGUCUGUGUAGUUAAGAUUUGCUAAGUAUUUACGUCCGCUUACAACAAUAGUCCCAAUUUCCUGACUUUUCAUAGGAGUGACUUCAAAGCAGUUCUUAGAUUGGCAUGCCUUGGUUUAUUAUUCAUUUUCAGAGCAUCCUUGGAUGUAGGUAAGGGACUAGCAUUUUAUCUUUAUCCUACACAAUUAAAACUGAGAGUAUGAAGGGAUGAUGGGGCUUGCCCCCAAAAGACAAAGACAUUAACUAUUAUUAUGAAACUUGGCUUAGUACUCAGAUCUCCUUUAAUACAGGAGGGUGUUUUCCCCUGAGAUUAUGCUUCCUUUACAUAUCUUUAAACUGGGAAGCCUACACCAGACAAAUCCCAAGAAGAUUUUUGGAGGUUGGGUUAACAUGACCCAGUUCUGAGGCUGUGAAGACAGGGAAGCCAGGCUGAGAAAACUGUGCAUGUUUUGUGAUAUUUAGUGAGCAUCAUGCAACCACUGCUAACAGAUCAGCCAAAUAAAGCUGUGUAAGAAAAGGUGAGAAAUGGGAGUGCUUUUUAACACACUUCUGCUCUGGCCCUGAGUUUUGUGUCUUUGCCUCAUGCCCGCCCAACUGGAGCUCUUCCAUGUGUCACUGGAGCUGCUGUCGCAGGAACCAGAAGACUAGCUUCUCCAGCAGCCAACCAGGGGUAGGUGGCUUUGUGCAAGGAGGCUGCAGAGGAGAAUGUCCAGUUGUACUGAACCAGUCACACUUGUGACACGGGAACAGUACAUUCUUCAAGAAUGAAGCCAUUCAAAGCCCUUUGCUACCAAAGUCACAAGGAGGCAUUUGGAUUCCCACAGUCACCUCUCUCAAACUUGACUUGAGCCGCCACAGCCAAGUCACUUUGUUUCCACUGUAGCUCACAUUACGGGUGGCAGGUUCCACCUGUUUCAAUAUUUGGUUGAUGACGAAAGUGACCCUUGAGAGCGGAGUGACAUGGGCAGCUGAGCAGACUUCCAAACCAAUUGUGGGAAAAACCAAGAUAACCUGUACCCUAUAAAAGAGAUUAUGAAGACAAAUAAGGCCAAAAGAGGGUGCUGUGAGAAGUUUCUAUGUCUAAACUCUUUCUUGGGGUUAAUCAGUGUUGGGUGAGGGGUCAGUUUAAAGAGCAGAAGAAGCGGGCAUACGCUUAAGUUACAGAGGAAAGAAUGAAAAUCAGAUACAGUAAUGCUAACUCAAGAGGAGAAAGAAUAGACUUUGUAGAUUUCUGAAGCAGACACCUGGAAGCAAGACAGCACAACAAGUCCUUUUACUACUAGAAUGCUCUACAAGGAAGUAGGCGCAUCAGAGAGAGAAGGAGACACAAAAUCCUUUGCCAUCUUGAAAUACUCCUCCUCUAUGUCCCCUCAUCCUUGCCCUCCAGGCAAACCCCGCCUCUCCUCCAUGCUGUGCAUUAAUUGCUCUAUUCAUGAAUGUAAUGCCAGGACCAGAUUUCUCCCAACACAGCUUUUCACCCCACUCAACUUCUCAAAAGCCCUACCCCUUCCCAACCACCUCUCGAGAGUGGAUGAAGUGAUUGCUUAAGAUGAUUUAAGCACUGGGGAGAAUUUGACCAGCUCUCCUCCAUUUUAAGCUUGCCAUUCCAAAGAAGUGGUAGCCAGCUCAUGCAGACACUGGGGAAAACAUCAAGGUGUGGUAAGCAAGCACUGAAAGAGCACCUCAAAAGAUCUGGGGUCUUAUUUUGCCUUUGCCAUUUGCUUUCUGUGUGGCCUUGUGUCGAUAACUCAACGGCUCUCUGCCUACUUUAUUUCAAAAAGCCUGCCCAUAUUGUCUCUGAUGCAUUCUAAACAACAAGGAAUCAACAGAUGGUCUUUCUUCCUCUUGCAUCGGGUCACUCACAUUAAAGGUUUCUGGAAUGUGCACAUUCUGAUCAUCAGAAUCUCAGAAAAAGACAGUGAGGGGGCAAAGACAGCCCUUUACAAGUGCUUGUAUGAUGUAAACCACAUUCGUCUCUCUCUGAAAUCUCGUCUUUCCCUAAAAGAAUUUACUUUAUAGAAAAAGAAUAAUUUUGUGAUUAAAGAUUAUUUCAAUUUAGGAAUUGUCAGUGAAUUCAAUUUUAUUUUAUAAUAUAGUCGGGGUAAAUGUAUAUCAUGUCGGAAUAAUCGAUGAUUUUCUUGAUGCCUUUCUUCAACUGCUAUAAGCACUGAUAUUUUCAUGACAUUAAAGGCUCUGUAGUUAAACCAGAACAUUAAAUGCUGUCACCAUUCAGCAUUUCCCUGAUUGAGGAAGAUGUUACAGCUGAAUUUUCAUUGGAGGAUGUCUGUGGACUUUUUAUAAUCAUUAAGGCUCAUUACAUUAUUACUAGAUUUUCAUCUUCUAUGAAUCUUUAAGGAUCAAAACAAAAUAUAUGAAGAAAGGAAGGAUGCAUGUGUCGUUAUAGCUCCUUAACAAAUGGGAGAAAUGGUGCAGGAAAAUGGCCAAGUUUACCAUAAAUCACAAAAAUAGGAGUUCCCUUGUGGCUCAGUGGUAACAAAUCCAACUAGGAUCUGUGACGAUGAGGGUUCCAUCCCUGGCUUUGCUCAUUGGUUAAGGAUCUGGCAUUGCCAUGAGCUGUAGUUGUAAGUCGCAGACAUGGCUCAGAUUCUGCAUUGCUGUGGCUGUGGUAUAGGCCAGCAGCUGUGGCUCAGAUUCGACCCCUAGCCUGGCAACUUCCAUAUGCUGCAGGUACAGCCCUAAAAAAAAUUUUUUUAAAUAGGUUUCAGAGAUUAAAAAGAGAGAGCAGAAUUCCUGAAUCCCAGGCAUGGAUGGAUGAUUCUGUCUCCCCUCUUUUACUGUGACACACGUGACCAAAAGGCUAUGGCAGCCUUUUCCCCACGUCUCAUAAGAGUUGGCAUUGAAGAGGUCACACUGUCUGUCCCUAGCCACCUUAAGUUUUAAAGGAAGCACUCAGAGUUCCUGUCGUGGCGCAGGGGAAACAAAUCCGACUAGGAACCAUGAGGUUGCAGGUUCGAUCCCUGGCUUCGCUCAGUGGGUUAAGGAUCCAGCAUUGCCAUGAGCUGUGGUGUAGGUUGAAGACUCGGCUUGGAUCUGACGUUGCUGUGGCUGUGGUGUAGGCUGGUGGCUACAGCUCUGAUUAGACCCCUAGCCUAGGAACCUCCAUAGGCCGCAGGUGCGGCCCUGAAAAGACAAAAAAUAAAUAAAUAAACAAAUAAAUAAAGGGAGCAUUCUGAGGCCCAUAGAGUUGAAGGGACUUGCCUGAAACCACACAGCUAGUAAGAGAGGCCUCCUUCCCAGACACUGCACUGCUCCAUUCAUGCUCCAUCCCAGAGCCACUGGAACAGACUCACUCAUUCAGCAAAAAUGUCCUGAGAACCUGCUAGCAGGGGAAGUCCCAGACAGAAGGCCAAUUCUCAUCUGCUAAAAAAAAAAAAAAAAAAAAAAAAAAAAAUUCCUUUCUCCCCUCAAAGGGAAAAAAAAAAAGAUCAAAGUCAAAAUGAACAGGGUCAUAGGUCAGGACAAGAUUUAGAGAGGCCUGAAGUUUAGGCAGACCUGGAUGCAUAGCCUGACUCUACGCUUUGCUAAUGUGUGACCUUGGGCUUCUGCAUCCUACUCUGUAAAACUGUGAAAAUUCCUCAGAAGUGGUUUGUGAGGAUGAAAGGAGAUGGCGCUUUUUUGUUUGUUUUUUGUUUUUUGGUAUUUUUAAAUAACAUAGUGUCUGGACACAGUAAGAGGGUGACGAAGUGGUCCCAGGUAGCACUACCACUGACUGAGCCAGGCUGGGAAAGAAAGAAUAUUUUUGUUCCCUUUUCCUUCAUUCUCCCCUCAGAUAGCCUAAGGGUGCUCUCCUCUUGCCCCUGCCGUCUGCACCACAUCAAGGCGGAGAGUUCCUUGCGUGUUACAAACGGCCUUGCAAGGCCUCACUUCCUGGGUUCUGCAUGCGGGGCUUCCUAACUCUAACUCUCUCUCUCUCUCUCUCUUCCUCUCUCUCGCUCUCUGGCUUUUCACUAAACCACGGCUUUUAAACUCCUCCAAGUCUGUGACUCAUCCACUAGUCCAAACUUGCACACAUUCCUACAAGAAAGAACUCAGAACUCUGCCUAUUAAAUUUCCAGUUACUAAUAAGACAUCAGAUUAGACAUUCAGCUGAGAAUGGCUGAAAAGCAAAACACAAGUGUAUUGAGAGCUCCCCCCAAUACACCCUUUAUUCUUGGCCUCUGUGAGUCCUUUAAUCCAUAACAAACAACGCAAAGUGCUACAUGAAAGGUGACAGGGGCGGGAUCCCCAGUGCUCCUGGAAGAGUUGGGAUAAGCGCUGGCAAACACAGAGUGAGGAGCAUGGAAAUGCCAAGGCAAUCAGGGCUAUAUAAAGACAGAUGCGUCAGUGUUCAGAACAGGGAACAUCUAUAAGACCCAGGGGUUAGCAGAAUGACGGUGGAGAGUGAAGCAAGAUAGCACCUGUUUGGAAAGGCUUCAAGGAAAAGAGUUCUGAAGGGCAGUGGGGUGACAGGCGGACCGCAGAGGUGACAAGAGGGAGCAGAGCGCAGAGGGCAAGGCGAUAACAGAAAGAAAAAGGGAGCAAAGAGCAAAAGUGAGGGUAUUUGCAAACUUCACCAGAACACCUUGCUGCCCACGUGAGCAAAGAGAACCGGAGAGCUGAAUACAUCUGAUUAGAAGCAGAGG
rnacentral:lncRNA from 1 species